GACGAACGCUGGCGGCGUGCCUAAUACAUGCAAGUCGAGCGGGGAUUAUGCUUGAUCGCUUCGGUGAGACGGCAUAUAUCCUAGCGGCGGACGGGUGAGUAACGCGUGGGUAAUCUACCUCGUAGUUCGGGAUAACAGGCCGAAAGGCUUGCUAAUACCGGAUGAGUUCAUGCUUAUGCAUAUAGGCAUGAAGAAAGGGCUAGCCCGCUAUGAGAUGAGCCCGCGUCCCAUUAGCUUGUUGGUGGGGUAAUGGCCUACCAAGGCAACGAUGGGUAGCCGGCCUGAGAGGGUGUACGGCCACACUGGGACUGAGACACGGCCCAGACUCCUACGGGGGCAGCAGUAGGGAAUUUCGGCAAUGGGCGAAAGCCUGACCGAGCGACGCCGCGUGAGGGACGAAGGCCUUCGGGUUGUAAACCUCUGUCUGGGGGAUGAGACGGACGGUACCCCGGAGGAAGCCCGGCUAACUACGUGCCAGCCGCCGCGGUAAACCACGAGAGUA
rnacentral:rRNA from 1 species